UUGUUGCAUUAUCUGCUGGCUUCUGAAGUUCAAUCGAGCUCACUGCUGCCAGGAUUUGUCCUGCAUUGCAUUCCGUUAUCGUGUUGCGGCUGCGUUUGGGUGGCGCCUGGUGGCGGUUAUAUUGUUGUGAGAAGUCUUUGGAGGCAGGGAGUAACAGAAAGAAUCGAUUCAGAUUCAUUGCUCCAUUUUACAUCACAUGCUUUUGUCGGUGGCUACUUGAAGCAUUGUGUCUGUGAGUUGGUGGAAGAUCUCUCGGAGUUCUAGAACCUGAGGCUGGAGAAGUGUGUUGAACCGUGAGCUGAUUUUAAGGAGCGAGAGCGAAAGAGAGGGCGAGGGCGUUUAUGGUUGUGAGGAUCUGAGAGGCGCGUGGAGUUUGAAGGGUUCUGGAACCCUAGAGCUGGGUUUUAGGGGAGGUUUGAGGUUGAAGGGGUUUAUUCGGGGUUUGAGUUUGAUCCUUACAUUUGAAUUAGUGUUUGGGAGCCUUUGAGGGAGAAAGAAGCAGGAACAGUUUGGAGCGUGGUGUGGCCGAAGGAGCACAGUUGCGAAGGGGUUGUUUGGAGUUGAGGUGGAGUGUGGUUGUGCUGUGCGGCGAUCUUGUUUUCAAGCAUGAGUGAAGUGGCAGGGAUGGGUUCCAAGAAUCCGAAAGUGUUCUUUGACAUCAGUAUUGGUGACGAGUUGGAAGGUCGGAUCGUAAUGGAGCUUUUCGCAGACGUUGUGCCCAGGACCGCGGAGAAUUUUCGCGCUCUCUGUACAGGCGAGAAAGGGAUUGGACCUGUCACGGGGCGUCCUAUGCAUUAUAAAGGCACCAUAUUUCAUAGAGUGAUCAAAUCCUUCAUGAUUCAAGGCGGUGACUUUGAGAAUGCAAAUGGAACUGGUGGCGAGUCCAUUUAUGGAAAGAAUUUUGAGGACGAAGUGUUUCUAAUGAAACAUGAACGGAAGGGUAUGCUAUCUAUGGCGAAUGCUGGACCUAACACUAAUGGAUCCCAGUUUUUCAUUACCACUACCCGAGCUCCACACCUCGACGGAAAGCAUGUGGUGUUCGGUAAGGUAUUGAAGGGCAUGGGAGUCGUGCGCUCCAUUGAGCACCAACCAACUGACUCUGCUAGCAACAAGCCCCUUGCUGACGUGCGUAUCGUGGACUGCGGCGAGUUGCCAGAAGGCGUUGAUGACGGAGUCGUGGGAUUCACCCAAGACGGGGAUAAGUAUCCAGAUUGGCCUUCAGACUUGGAUACGCAGCCUGCUGACGCAGCAUUUUGGGAGGCAGCAGUGGAUUCUGCCCGAGCCUUAGGCAAUGAAUUUUUUAAGAAAGGAGACUAUAAGACUGCACUAAGAAAGUAUCGUAAGGCUCUACGGUAUCUAGAUGUAUGUUGGGAGAAAGAGGAGCUCGAUGAAACAAGAAGUAAUUCGCUUCGCAAAACAAAAUCACUCAUAUUGACUAAUAGUGCUGCUUGCAAGUUGAAGCUUGAGGAUCCUCGAGGUGCAUUAACUGACUGUGAAUAUGCGAUGCAAACUGGAGUUGAUAAUGUUAAAGCUCUCUUCCGUCAAGGCCAGGCUUAUUUGGCGAUUGGUGAUAUAGAUUCCGCAUUGAUGAGCUUAACGAAAGCCUCUAAUAUCGAACCAAAUGACACUGGAAUUAAGAGAGAACUUGCAAUGGCUAGGAGGAAGAUCAAUGAGCGAAAUGAGAACGAGAAAAAGUCCUACGCUCGAAUGUUCAGCUAGAGAGGUUACAAUGUUUUUGACAGGGCUGCGAAUGGAAAUGCAGAUGGAAACGGCUUAAUUCGUAGUCGCGGAGUGUGCGCGCACGAGAUAUUUCUUAAAUUAAAUCAAGUUUAAGAAAGAGAUUGCAUAUUCGAUUUGGUGGCAUCUUCUUUUAGACGUUCUUAGGAGUGUGUCAUAGGUAGUACGCAAUUUAGUGAACACCAGUCAGGCAAGUACUGGAAUUUUGUUGGUUGCAUCACAACCGGGAACAGUCGGUAAUAUUCCCGACAUUUAAUCACCUUUGCACACUUAUCCACCAUGAGCAUCCAUUGCAAUGCACUUACCAGCCCCACAACCAAGCUGUGUGCGGUCCAGAUUGCAGCCCACCCACAUUAUAAUCACGUCGCAAAGUGUGGCCUCGCCUGCACCCUCAUCGUCGAGGUCACUGGUUAUCCAUCGUGACGUCAACACGCGCGAACUCAAGAGGCUGAUAAAGCUACAGUAACAUUGAUCACAAGCGGCCCAGGUACACGACAAUCGCCAAGUACAUGACGAUCGAAGGGCUGCAGUGCUAUGACUGCUGGUGUGCAGCAGAUAUGUAAGGUUACGAGGAGUACACUGAAUAUGAUUGCACUGGCAGGUCUCAAAUUUAGCCACCGUUGCCCCUUCAUCAAUGUCCUUUUGUCUGCCUUCAAGGAAAAUGAAGCAUUCAAGGACAUCCUACGAAAGAAAUAGGACAAAGCAAAAGAUGAAGAUCAGUAGGGAUGAAGAAAGCGGCUAUGAGAUAUUGAUUGAAAUUGGCAUUGUCGUUCAUCGGUUGCAGUGGCGCAUGUUGCCGCGGUUUGUUGUGCAAUGGUGACGCUAGUGAUGUGAGGAACUGGUUUAUGGAUUCUGAAGGUUUCUGGAUAGUGGGGUUUUGGGAUCAAGCGCUUAAGAUGGCUGAGAAAGAUCAUCAAGCAAGUUGAUUCUGAAGGAUCCAUCCCGGAGGAUGCAGCCAAGGACAGUGUCAUGGAAUUGGUGGAUUUAGGGGGGGGGGGGGCUCGCAAGUUUCUGAUCACUUCAGUCGUGAUAAGCUUGUUGUUUUUGAAAUUUACAGACUUUUAUAAUGUUUUUUCUAACCAUGUUUUGAAUUGGGUGUGGAUUUUUGAAAAUUCAGUUUCUGAACUUGUUCUGAAGUCGAGAGGACAUCUAAACGCCAACUAAAAUGGGACAAGCAGGAGGUCAGUCAUACUUUGAACAUUAGAGCUGCACUUCAGAGAUUGCCAAUUUUAGACGAAGAAUGUGCAUAUCCUGGCAGUGCAUAUCCAAAAUGCCAAUGGUCGGAUCAUUUAAACGUAGAGAAGGGCAAAUAUUUCGGUAGAGAAGGGCAAAUUUUUUGGGGCGGUGGCAAAGAUCGGAGAAAAUAAAUCAUGUAGACAUCCAGUAUCAUUGUCAUUAUAGACCAAGUGCUGCUCUGUCUUGAAUCAGAUGUGUUUUAGGGAUCGACGAUGGACUCGAGAUCAACAUAAGACAUUUCACCGUCUUGAAACCCAAACCUCUGGAAUGCGUGUCCCUUCUCGGACGUAACUGCCAGAAGUUGCCAUGGAUAAUAGUGACUAGCAUUUGCUACAUGACUGGCUGACUUCAAAAUCCUAGCCUCACUGUCACGAUCUUAACUCUUGAUGCUGCAUCAGUUUGGUUUUGGAAUUGACUGUAAUAACAUGGAUCUUCAUUCGAAGAUUUCCUGUUAGGUAUCUGUAGAGGGAACGUCGCCCUACCCUUAAUGAGAACUGACUUUUGUAGAUACUCUCAAAAUUUUCUGCAAUUUUCUCAGGGAUAGGCGCGCAAAUUGUUUGAGAUAGGAGGCCAUCAGAUGUCAGAACUGAAUUUAGUUCCUAGUGGCAAUUCAACAAGGCGGGAAACUGACAGUAAUAAUUUUGUUGAAACCUUGGCAAUGAAAGUGCAAUUACCCCCA